rnacentral:tRNA from 1 species
GAGAAGUUAGUUUAGUAUAAAAUAUAAAUCUGUCAGAUUUAAGUCACUUUAAAGUAUUUCUUU